ACAGCUCAAAUUUGAAAUCUGGCCCCCUCGGGGUCCGAGUUGUAAUUUGGAGAGGAUGCUUCGGGUGUGGCCCCGGUCUAAGUUCCUUGGAACAGGACGUCACAGAGGGUGAGAAUCCCGUACGUGCCCGGUGGCCGCCCCCGUGUGAAGCUCCUUCGACGAGUCGAGUUGUUUGGGAAUGCAGCUCAAAAUGGGUGGUAAAUUUCAUCUAAAGCUAAAUAUUGGCCAGAGACCGAUA
rnacentral:rRNA from 1 species